rnacentral:rRNA from 1 species
GAUGAACGCUAGCGGCAGGCCUAAUACAUGCAAGACGAACGGUAACUUUGGUAGCAAUAUUGAAGCAAGAGUGUCGUAAGGGUGCGUAACACGUAUGCAAUCUGCCCUCAACAGGAGGAUAGCUCCCCGAAAGGGGAAUUAACACUCCAUAAGAUUGUGGUCUGGCAUCAGACAGCAAUUAAAACUACGGUGGUUGAGGAUGAGCAUGCGCAUGAUUAGUUAGUUGGCGGGGUAACGGCCCACCAAGACGAUGAUCAUUAGGGGAACUGAGAGGUUGAUCCCCCACACUGGCACUGAGAUACGGGCCAGACUCCUACGGGAGGCAGCAGUAGGGAAUAUUGGACAAUGGGUGCGAGCCUGAUCCAGCCAUGCCGCGUGCAGGAAGAC